rnacentral:lncRNA from 1 species
UAUUUGACCCAACUAUUCGGUGUAGGAUAUAUUAGGGACGGCACAAGAGGGAGGCUAGUGGUAGUACCUCGUGCCCCUUCCAACUCCACCGGAUAGGGAGUAAAUAGAGUAUAGAGCAUAAGAAGGUAAAAAUGAAAGACAAAGUAAAUGAAAGUCAAAUUUUUUAAUCACUUGAAAACAUACUUUAAGGAUGAAAUCAGUACAAGAUUAUAUUUAAAUAGGGGGAGUUUAUUUGAAAAGAAUUGAUUUUGAUCCUUGACAUGCUUGUUCUUAAUAUUUUAAUACAUAAUAUAUUUUGCAUGUCACAUGAUGUUUUGAAUUAUAUGUUUUCAAUAUUCAAAUAACAAAGAUCAUUCCUAAAUAUAACUUGUAAUGCUUCAUGCCUAUAAAAUUUGAUUGAAACAUGUUAUUACCAACAACAACAUCAUUUUAUUUUAAUGA